GACGAACGCUGGCGGCGUGCUUAACACAUGCAAGUCGAACGGAAAGGCCCUGCUUUUGUGGGGUGCUCGAGUGGCGAACGGGUGAGUAACACGUGAGUAACCUGCCCUUGACUUUGGGAUAACUUCAGGAAACUGGGGCUAAUACCGGAUAGGAGCUCCUGCUGCAUGGUGGGGGUUGGAAAGUUUCGGCGGUUGGGGAUGGACUCGCGGCUUAUCAGCUUGUUGGUGGGGUAGUGGCUUACUAAGGCUUUGACGGGUAGCCGGCCUGAGAGGGUGACCGGCCACAUUGGGACUGAGAUACGGCCCAGACUCCUACGGGAGGCAGCAGUGGGGAAUAUUGCACAAUGGGCGGAAGCCUGAUGCAGCAACGCCGCGUGCGGGAUGACGGCCUUCGGGUUGUAAACCGCUUUCGCCUGUGACGAAGUGUGAGUGACGGUAAUGGGUAAAGAAGCACCGGCUAACUACGUG
rnacentral:rRNA from 1 species